rnacentral:tRNA from 1 species
GCGCCCGUAGCUCAACAGGAUAGAGCAGCGGUCUUCUAAACCGCAGGUUGGAGGUUCGAGCCCUCCCGGGCGUG